AGUGAACGCUGGCGGUAGGCCUAACACAUGCAAGUCGAACGGCAGCACAGUAAGAGCUUGCUCUUACGGGUGGCGAGUGGCGGACGGGUGAGGAAUACAUCGGAAUCUACUUUUUCGUAGGGGAUAACGUAGGGAAACUUACGCUAAUACCGCAUACGACCUACGGGUGAAAGCAGGGGAUCUUCGGACCUUGCGCGAUUGAAUGAGCCGAUGUCGGAUUAGCUAGUUGGCGGGGUAAAGGCCCACCAAGGCGACGAUCCGUAGCUGGUCUGAGAGGAUGAUCAGCCACACUGGAACGGAGACACGGUCCAGACUCCUACGGGAGGCAGCAGUGGGGAAUAUUGGACAAUGGGCGCAAGCCUGAUCCAGCCAUACCGCGUGGGUGAAGAAGGCCUUCGGGUUGUAAAGCCCUUUUGUUGGGAAAGAAAAGCAGCAGGUUAAUACCCCGCUGUCCUGACGGUACCCAAAGAAUAAGCACCGGCUAACUUCGUG
rnacentral:rRNA from 1 species